UACAGAGGGGGCGAGCGUUGUCCGGAUUUACUGGGCGUAAAGCGCGCGCAGGCGGCACUUCAAGUAAGGUGUGAAAUCUCCCUGCUCAACGGGGAGGGUGCACUUUAGACUGAGGAGCUAGAGGACGGUAGAGGGGGGUGGAAUUGCUGGUGUAGCGGUGAAAUGCGUAGAGAUCAGCAGGAACGCCCGUGGCGAAGGCGGCCCCCUGGGCCGUACCUGACGCUGAGGCGCGAAGGCUAGGGGAGCGAACGGG
rnacentral:rRNA from 1 species